rnacentral:rRNA from 1 species
UACGUAGGGGGCAAGCGUUUGUCCGGAUUUAUUGGGCGUAAAGAGCUCGUAGGUGGCCAACUAAGUCAGACGUGAAAUACCCUCAGCUUAACUGGGGAACGUGCGUCUGAUACUGGAUGGCUUGGAGUUUGGGAGAGGAAUGCCGGAAUUCCAGGUGUAGGCGGUAGAAAUGCGUAGAUAUCUGGAGGGAAACGAACCCAGUCGGCGGAAGGGCGGCUCACUG